ACCAGCAUGGCACAGUGGUUUGAGUGCUGGACUACAACUCUGGAGACCAGGGUUCGAUUCCCCGCUCAUUUA